rnacentral:misc_RNA from 1 species
CAUCGCUUCCGCUAUCGUCGCGAGGUGAAGCGUCGCGUAGGGAGCAGCACUGAGAGGCCGCGGAGGCACUUUCCGCGUGCUUGCGCUUUGUUGUUCCUCCGCGUUGCGCUGCGGAGGGCGCUGCCACGCUCAUUUUUUUUUUGCUGCUCCUCUGUUUAGCAUGCUUUUGCGCACGGAUAAGGAUGCCACCGAUGACGACGUCGAGUAUGGCUGCUCGCCACUCGUGGCGGGUGCUGACGUCGUCUCUCAAAGCCAAGGUGAGCCUUCAGAUGACACUUUGCGGUGGCCAGUGCUUUCACUGGUACCGAACGCCGCGCGGCACAUUUGUCGGUGCCAUUGGCGACGGCGUCUUUGAGCUGCGCGAGGUACAGUGCAGUGCAAAGCUGAAAAAACAAGAACUGCAAAGGACCGCGCCACAGCCGCCGGUGCCGGCACGGGCGAGGCGGCGGCACGCGGCGAGCGCUCCUGCUUCCACCUUGGAGGCUGCCGUGGGCGAGAGCGACUGCUGCCCAUGCUGCUGGAUAGAGUACCGGCGAUUAUGGCCGCUAGCUCAACCAGUUCGCCUAAGUGGCAAGGGUCGCACGAGCCCACUCUCAUCAUCAUUGCGGCACACAGGUGCAUCAUCAGCACCCGCCGUAUGGGAGAGCGACGAAGAGAUGCUAAGUCGCUAUCUCUCUCUCGAUGUCGAUCUUGACCAGCUAUGGCAGGAGUGGACCGACUCGCCAGAGACUCGCAAGCAUCCCCUUGUGGAAUACCUCGUCGGCAAUCGCCUUCACCGAGAAUUCCUGCGCAGCGGUCACGGCCAGCGUGUUUGCGAGCACGACGAAGCACAGGCAAAUCUGUACAUCCCCAUCCGCCAUGUCCGGCAGGAUUUGCACUCGUGCCUUUUCUCCUUCCUGUGCUCGCAGAACAACAACGUCACGCGCAUCACAGGCAUGAUCUACGCACUCUCCCGCACCUACGGCGACCACCUAUGUGACGUCCAACUCGCCACUGGUGAGGUGCAAGAGCCGCGGAAGUCGGCUGCUGAUACGCGGUCCAAGGUACCACAAACGCAAUUCCAAUCGGACGCCGCUGCCACCAGGAGAGACGCCAUUGCAUCUCCGUCACUGAGGUCGCACAGUUCAAGCACCAACUCUCCGGAAUGGCUUUCGGUGUACAGCUUCCCCUCACUCGAGCAGCUAGCAGCUGCCACGGAGGACACGCUGCGCAACCUCGGCUUCGGCUACCGUAGCAAGUACAUUGUGGAGGCUGUCAGCUUUAUCCGGACACAGUUGCCUCCGCAAGCGCUCCAGGACAAAAAGGCGGUGAAAGGGAAGAUGCACUCCCCUCCACACCUAAUACAGCAACACGGGGCGUGCUAUCGAAACGGCUUCUACUCUGCUGUGCUAAGCCACCACAACUACCACCACCAGCAUCAACGGGAUAUGCUGCUUCUCCUGCCGGGCGUGGGGCGCAAAGUGGCAGACUGCGUGGCGCUCUUCGCGCUCAACCGCACCCACAUUGUUCCCGUGGACACGCACAUGGCACAAGUUGCGGUGGAGUACCUUGCCGCCCCAAGCGCCGCGGCGGCGGUGGGUCGUAAGCGUUCUCGUCCAGGGUGUCUGUUGUCCGAGGAGGAAGCCCAGUCACCGGAUAAUCUGCUGCUGGAGUGGAGGAAGCAGGCGGAGGCUCUUAAGGUGAAGAAAGGCGCGUCGCCAGCGACCGUGAAGGCGAUAGAGGAAGGCAGAAGCUCUGCAGCGUCGCUGCUGCGUGCCUCACGAAAAACGCCUGUCCCGCCGUUGUACGAGCGGCAUCAUAACGUCAUUCAGGACGCCUUCUGGAAGCUGUUUGGCAACUACGCUGGGUGGGCCCACAGCAUUCUCUUCUACUACCGCCUGCGCAAAUGAGACACCGCACGAAAGCAGAGAGAACUCAACGAGGCGUGUGCUGGUCUUCUCUUUUCCCGGUUUGUCUGCGCUCCCCAACAUCAUCACAGAACCCUAUCAUUGCGAUUGAUUCCAAAUAUAUCGAGAAGGACUACG